rnacentral:lncRNA from 1 species
GUGAUUUCUAAAUAUCAGUAGGGAUUUAUUCCAGAAUCUUCUAGAGAUAACCCAAAUCUCAAGUCCCUUAUGAAAAAUGGCAAAGUAGUUACAAAUAGUGUGUUCACAUCCUCUUGUAUGCUUUGUCUCUAGACUACUUCUAAUAACUUAAACAAUGCAAAUUCAUGUAAACUAUUGCUAUCUGUGUUGUUUAAUAAGAGACAAUGACAAGAAAAAGUCUAUGUGUUCAAUACAAAGCCAAUAUUUUUGCCACUGUUUUGAUCCACAGUUGGUUAAAUAUGCAAAUAUGAUGACCAUACAUAUGGAAGGAUGACCAUCUUGGAAUUGCAUUUAAGUGAAGGGGAGGCUUCUGGUUCAAUGAGAAAGAGAAAGAUAGUAUAUUGCUGCACAUAUGUGGAAGUUCAUUCAGAAAAAAAACAAGUAGAUGCAGAAAAGGAACCAGGGCUGACACAGUCGUGUAUUAAGAAAAUUAAAAGUAUCUCACAUGAUACAAGGAUAAGUCAGCUUUAGUGAUUUUGAUUGAUUAACUCAAGUCUAAAAUGUGUCCAUGAAGAGGACAAUGUGCUAAGCAAGCAGUCUGAAAUAUUCACCUUCCCCCUUGUUCUUGUUUCAUGUGGAAAAAGGAUUUCUCAAUUUCAGCACUAUUGAAAUGUUUAGCAUUA